rnacentral:rRNA from 1 species
GUCCACGCCGUAAACGAUGAAUGCUAGCCGUUGGGUAGCUUGCUAUUCAGUGGCGCAGCUAACGCAUUAAGCAUUCCGCCUGGGGAGUACGGCCGCAAGGUUGAAACUCAAAGGAAUUGACGGGGGCCCGCACAAGCGGUGGAGCAUGUGGUUUAAUUCGACGCAACGCGCAGAACCUUACCAGGGUUUGACAUCCUGCGACCGCUCCCUAAUAGGAGUUUUCCCGCAAGGGACGCAGAGACAGGUGCUGCAUGGCUGUCGU